GUGAAAUAUUAAUUGUAUUUUAUUUUUUAUGAUGAACUUCCCAAAACUAUUUUUCUUUGAAGACUUUUCGUUGAAGUCAUUUAAUUUUACUAAAUAUUAGAUUCCUACAUGGGUCAUGCAAUGUUUUGUGAGUAGGAACUAUUAAUUAUGACGUUUGUUCGAAUGGGAUGCUUAUCUGUGUUGCGUGCUAUGCUUUUGGGGAGUGCGUGAGUUACAUCAGCCUCAGACUGCGAAUGGACGCUGGUGAGGCAAGAUGCACAUUUUCCCUUCUCUUCCUCCAGUCAUAAUUGGUAUGUUUAAAAGUAUUAAUUUGGUCAAAAUUCAUUCAAUAUAAAAUGGAAUGUGUUCUGAGUCAAGUAUACAAAUGUAUUAUUGUGUAUUGGUUACUUUAUUUGAGUUUUAUGCAAAUUUUGUCUGACACACAUGUAGCUAACAAACUCAUGGUUUGUGCACAGUGUUUAACGGAAGAAGUUAGUGCAACGGAUGUUUCUCUUAUCAAGUGUUCCGUGUGUUUCAGGACUCAGAAGCCCUUUUCACACUGGGAUUCUGGAUAAUACACAGUUUGCACGUAUUUUUUCGUCGCAAACGUUGAUCUUCAAAACACCUG
ensembl:lncRNA